UACAGAGGGUGCAAGCGUUUAAUCGGAAUUACUGGGCGUAAAGGGUGCGUAGGUGGUUAAUUAAGUUGUAUGUGAAAACCCUGGGCUUAACCUAGGAAUUGCAUAUAAAACUGAUUAGCUAGAGUGCGGUAGAGGGAAGUGGAAUUUCCGGUGUAGCGGUGAAAUGCGUAGAUAUCGGAAGGAACAUCAGUGGCGAAGGCGACUUCCUGGACCGUUACUGACACUGAGGCACGAAAGCGUGGGGAGCGAACAGG
rnacentral:rRNA from 1 species